GUAUCUCUGUAGCCAUGGUAACAAAUGGGAAAAUGAAAUCAGGCUGACUGGAAAACAGACUCAAAGUGACAAACUUGAAACUUGGAAGUGACACAGAAAAAUAGUUCUUAGACCCUGCUCAACCGUUGUGCACUAAGAUACUUCUGUUAAUUUCCAUCUAAAUUAUGAAAAAGAAAUUUUCUGUGGAUGUUACACACAGCACUCUUUGAUGUAUCAGACAAUUAAAAACAACUGAAAUAUUAACCCUGCUUCACCAGAGGCAAUUCCAUCGACGCCACCAGUCUGGAGUCCUAGUGAGAUAUUGGAGAAAUCUUCUGCACACUGAUUUUAGUGUCUGACAUCCAGGACUCAUUUAAACGGACCUGCUGUGCUUAACAUGGUCCUCCAACUCCUUAAAGUACUUGUUCUUCAAGCAAUGGAGAAUCUCUUUGGCAUGGCUAUGGAAAAAAAAAAAAAAAGCAAGUUUCACAGUCAUCUAAGAAGGUGAGUUGGUAAGAUUUAAUAGCUUUAAGAUUGCCAAGUGUUUUAAACGUAAAACCAGUUCUGAGAAGACGUUCCAUAAGCGCUCCGGGGUGUGCAGACUUUUUAACACCUAGGCCCUGUUAACAUCUAAGAAAGCAACACCAUCAAUUUUCUAACUCCCUCCAGUUCACUGUUGUGUUGGACACACCUUACAAAUAAGGUAAAAGCAAUACUGCAUUUUGUCACAGCUUCAGUUUUUAAUUGCCACGAGUCUUGCGGACAACGUACUUUGACGUGCAAGAGAGGCAAAGAUUCCUGCUGCUCUGAUGGUCCCCCAUAGGACCCAAGUCUUUCCCGGGUCGCGUUUUCUAUUCAUAUUCUAAUGUCCCACCGAGGACGUUCCUGUGCACUACAGCCCCCAAGUCCACACCUCAGAAAAGACACAGCAAACGUACCUUUUGUACCCAGUGAUUCUCAGUGUGGCUGGGAGAGGUUCUCGGAGUGACUCCAUGAAUUGGUCCCAUUCUCCCUCUGGCACGAUCUUGAGUUCCUGAUAGUAGUGCUCGAAGAGCUUGUUCUCCUUUACGAUCUCGGGAUAGCCACCUUCCCAGCCCUGCCAGGAAAGCGACAGGUGAGCAAGCUCCGACCGACACCCGCGAACCCGGCCCACGAGCAAGCUCCGCACGCGCGAGCCCACCAGACACCCCUCUCGUCCCCGCGCCUACCGCCUGGCCUCGCUUUCUGCCGCCGUCGCUGGCGUCUUCCUCGCCCUCAGGCUGCGGCGGCUGCUGGAACCGCCGGCCCCGCGCCCGCCGCCCCAUGGCCCACGCGGCUGCACACGCGGAGCGCACACAGCGACCCACCAAACCGCACGCACGCUGCACUUCCGGCUGCAUCCCGAGGACCCCGCGGCUGGGUCCUAGCAGAGGCAGUCAAAAAAUAUGCCUGAAAGACACAACAUGCUCCCGCCGAGAACUCACGCAAAAAAAAGGGUGGUAUUCCUAUAGAGAACGUGUUUCCUCAAAUCAACCUUAAACGCCACUGAGCGUGAAUCUCCCCGUCUUACACAGAGACUCAGGCACCUGCAUGGACGACCUGAUCGUAGCGCGUGCGCAGAGAGUCAUGGAGUGUUGUCCGAUCUGUCGCUGUCCGGGUUAGACUGUGGAGGGGCGUGGUUGCAAGUUAGGCGGGGCGGAGCGAGAGUCUGUUUCGAGCGAAGAGGCGGGGUCUUUGCUGUGUAGGCGGGACUUUGUGGGUGAUGCGAGGCUCUGGUGCUCCGCUGUGGCGCUGAGGGGGCGGAGCUCCGGCAGAACUUUUCGCGAGCCAAAGGAGCUCUCAGCCAAUGUGUGUAGCGCUCCAAGAUCGGGCGGGGCUCUGAGGAGCGGGGCUCGAGACUAAGGCGCCCUCCCCCCGAAGAGGCGUGGCUCCCUGUGUGGGCGGGGUUUUACCCAAUCGUUCUCUCGUUUGGAUUACGGGCGGGAGGGUAUCUUCUGGUGGUGCUAGCCUGUGCUCCUGUCUCCGCCCGAGCAGGUGGCUCGCCCCUCCCCUGGGCAGGUACACCCUGCUGGAGCGCUGGCCCUUGUGGGCUGCUCUGCGCCCUCCUCCUGAGCUUAUAUGUGGCUCCACUUGGACAUCCGAGCAUGGAGCACGCUGCUCGACCUCAGCUAUGGAGUUGGAUGAGUUGCGCCUACUGGAUGCGCUAGUCUACCUGGAGGGUUUCCUGGCUUUCGUGGCCUUCGUGGGGCUCCAGAUGGUGGGCUCUUCCUACGGCCGCUACUCCUCGCAGUGGUCCGGCCGCCGAGUGCCCGCGCGACCUGCCUGGUUCCUACAGGAGCUGCCUUCAAUGGCCUGGCCGCUGUACGAGUGCAUCCGUCCUGCAGCCGCCCGACUGGGCAACCUGCCUAACCGCGUCCUGCUAGCUAUGUUUCUGAUCCACUACGUGCAAAGGUAAUGGUCUUCCCUCCUGCGCUUGCUCCCGAGGACCCGCGGCUCAGAGACUUAAUUCCGAAAUACAAAGGAUUGUCUAGAAAGGGAGGUAGAAAGGACCGCACAGAAGCGGUGGAAGUUCGUGUCUGGUCAGGGAUAGUGGCACAGUGGUCCGGAUUUCUUCCCUGCCCAUCUGCAGACUCCGCCCUAAGGAGUAUCUGCGAUGCCAUCCAAGCUGCAUUUCUACUGUUUCCCCCUUGGGGAAUCUAUCCCUGGUAGCCUGUCCCAUAGCCAGGUGACCUAGCUUCAGCUUGCUAACAACCUACUCUGGAACCACUGUGGACCCCGAAUGUGGACUGGAGCAAUUUCAGAGAUGUUUUGCUUUCUCUGUGUGAGAUGGUAUGAAUCUUUCCCAGGAGGUGUUAUGUGAAAAAUGUUUUAGUGACCGCCUCAAGUCUUUGGGUUGUCUAAUAAACUGGACUGGACUGUC
ensembl:processed_transcript Gm17108 predicted gene 17108